UACGUAGGGUGCAAGCGUUGUCCGGAAUUAUUGGGCGUAAAGAGCUCGUAGGCGGUUUGUCACGUCGGAUGUGAAACCCUGAGGCUCAACCUCAGGCCUGCAUUCGAUACGGGCAGACUAGAAUUCGGCAGGGGAGACUGGAAUUCCUGGUGUAGCGGUGAAAUGCGCAGAUAUCAGGAAGAACACCCGUGGCGAAGGCGGUUCUCUGGGACGGUACUGACGCUGAGACGCGAAAGCGUGGGGAGCAAACAGG
rnacentral:rRNA from 1 species